rnacentral:rRNA from 1 species
AGUGAACGCUGGCGGUAGGCCUAACACAUACAAGUCGAACGGCAGCACAGUAAGAGCUUGCUCUUACGGGUGGCGAGUGGCGGACGGGUGAGGAAUACAUCGGAAUCUACUUUUUCGUGGGGGAUAACGUAGGGAAACUUACGCUAAUACCGCAUACGACCUACGGGUGAAAGCAGGGGAUCUUCGGACCUUGCGCGAUUGAAUGAGCCGAUGUCGGAUUAGCUAGUUGGCGGGGUAAAGGCCCACCAAGGCGACGAUCCGUAGCUGGUCUGAGAGGAUGAUCAGCCACACUGGAACUGAGACACGGUCCAGACUCCUACGGGAGGCAGCAGUGGGGAAUAUUGGACAAUGGGCGCAAGCCUGAUCCAGCCAUACCGCGUGGGUGAAGAAGGCCUUCGGGUUGUAAAGCCCUUUUGUUGGGAAAGAAAGGCAGCAGGUUAAUACCCCGCUGUUCUGACGGUACCCAAAGAAUAAGCACCGGCUAACUUCGUG